AUGUGUGUACGUGUGUAAAUGUGUGUGCAUGUCUGUAUGUGUACAUGUGUUCAUGUGUGUAUGUGUGCACGUCUGUGUGUGUGCACGUGCACACGUGUGCGUGCGUGUGUGUGUGCAUGUGUAGGGUUGCCGUGACUAUUAAAGAAGAGCAUGUAAAUAAAGGCACUACUGUCACACUCACACACAGCCCACAUUCACACCCAGUAAAUGUUGGAUCACUUCCCAGUGUCCUCUUUCCUUCCCCUGAAUCGUCGGUCUCUCCCAACAUGUGCAGCCCCCAGCAGGUGCAUGACAUCAGUCCUGGGAACUUUGGGCCACUGCAUCAUAACUCCUUAAUCAAGGCAUUUUAUUUGUUUGGCUUCAGAAGAAAAUUCUAUGAUUCUGAGUGAGUCAUUUUCUUAGUGACCAUUCAGAAAAGCAUCCAGACUGGGUCUUGGUCCACGGACCACCUAAGAGACCAUGUGAGUCAUGCCCUUAAUGCUUCAUGGGGAGAGUGUUGGGGCCAACAGGAGGGGGACAUGUAUGAAUUUGGAAUCAGUUAUCACAGUGCUGGGCACAUGGCAGACAUUCAGUGGUUUUAAGUUAUUAUCUACCCAGUUGACAGACAGGUGUGCACAGAAGCAAAAUAGACAGAACAGUUCUGAAGAGAAAGGAAAACGGAAUGCAAAUGGGCAUCGACGGCUCUGGUGACUGCCUUGAUGCUUGUAGCGCUCUACAGUUUCUAAAGUGUUUGCCCUGCCCUCCCGUUUCAUCUUGGUGACAACACUCAGAGGUAGGUGGGAAAAGAAACCUCCAUGUCCUGAUUUUUAUUUUUUGAUGAAAAAAGAGAAGCCCAAACUGACCGAAUAUUUUCUGUGGACCCACGACCAGCGAUGAUGCAGCUGACAUGUACUGAGAACUGACCACAUGCCAGGCACUCUUCAGUGGUUUAUAUGUGCCAUUUUCUUCCAUCGUCAGAUCGACCUUCAGAGCCAUUAUACUCGUGUUCCCGUUCUCCAAGGAGGAGACUGAGCUCUGGAGUGUGAGGAGCCUUCUCGAGGAGACACAGGCACACGUGGGGUCACUUGGGCAGCCUGAGAACAAAGUCUGGGCACGGGACUUCAGUGUGAUGCUGUCAGCUGUAGAGUGGAGUCACCACAGCAGGGCAGGGCUCCUAGAACAGGCUUGCUAUCCACAGUCUGCAGGGUUCAUAGUUCAGUCCCAUGGCCCAGGCAAGUAGAAGGAUUUUCCAUCACGUCAUGUCUUAUGGAGAUUAGAGCUUCUCAACUCAUGCAAAAUCUAUAAGAAUAAUUUCGACCAGUAAUGAGCAACUAGGAAUUAAAGCAGAAGGUGAAAUUCUAUUCACAACAGCAGCCACAGCAACCGAUGAUCAAACAACAUCAAAUACUUAAAACCUUUACGAAAAUAUUUUAAAAAAUAUAUCAGAAGGCAUGACAUCAGAUACGAAAAGAAAAAGCCAAGAUAUAUACCAUAUUCAUGAAUGAGGCAGCUUGGCAUUGCAAAGAAGUCUGUUUUCCCCUGGAAGAUUCACCAGUGCAAUGCUCUUUCAAUAAAAAUUCUACCGUGACUAUUCUAAAAAUCAAAGUAUCUCUAAACGUAUGGAAUAACAAAUAUCCAGAAUAAACAAGACACUUGGGGAAACAAAGCGGGGGGGUGAAUCUGUCAGAUACUGAGACCCACUAGAAAGAAGUAGUAAGGAAAACUGUAUCUAGUGGAAGAACCGACCUAUCAGCCAGAGAGACAGGAAAUGGAUUUCAGAAACAUGUUGCUGCCUGUUGGACGCUGUGGUGUGGCCAUGGUGGCACCGCAUGUCAGUGGGGACAGAGAGCUUUCAGGUAACAUGCUCGGUGUGUGGAGAGAAGGGCUGCUGCCUCAGACCACACGGAGGCCCUCCUGGAAGACCCACAUGGGGCACACAGGACUGCAGAGGUCCUUGAGGACGUGGUGUCUUUAUAAUCUUGGGUGGGGAAGGACGCCUGAGCAGCACGUCACAAGCACAAAUCGUAAUGAAAAUGGGUCGAUUUGACUCCUCACAACAUUGCCCUUCUGUUCAUCAUCAGAUGCUGUGUGGCAAACAGAUGUGCUUGAUCAUGUGGGAGGCAUUCCCAACAUUUGCCAACAAGGGAUCACCAUCCAGGAUAUGCAGUGUGCUUCUUCAAAUUAAGAAAGAAAACAAGAGGAAACUAAAAAAUGUGCAAAGAAAAUGAAUAGGCAACUCAGAAAAGGAGAGACCUGGAUGCCUCAAAUAAUGUGAAAAGACACUGAACACACGUGUCACCUGAGAACACACGUGUCACCUGAGAACACACGUGUCACCGGCGAAAUGCUGAAGCUGCAUUCUAUACCCAGUGGACUUCCAAAAUUCAAAUCGUCUAUAAAUCCAAUUUCUGGUAAAGGAUGGAUGGAAACAGAAAUCUACAGGCACAGGUGUAGGGCUGGGACGGACCUGGAGGUGCCUGGAGAUGAUUUAUCUAUCCGAUGGCCAGGAAUCCCACACUCGGCAUGUGGGAGGUGAAAGACACUGUUCGGUGCAGCACCGGACAGGGUUCUCGGUACCUAAGCGAUGCUGGUCCCCAAGGGUGCGUGACUCAGCAGAGUGGUGGGUGAGUGCAGGAAACACCAGAGUCCACAGGGACCGACUGAGAGCAGCCCGCAGCCACGUGGUCAAUACACAAAACAUGGUUCUGUGAGCCAUGUGAGGAACAGUGAGGUCUCUAGCCCAAGGCUAUAUGGUCAGCGAAAAUCCUGAGUAGGCAAAGCAUUAUGUAUAUUCUUGGUGCGCACGUGCACAUUUAAAGACAGGAAGGUGGAGGGGGGCGGAGGCGGGGAAAGGAUCGGUGGUGGACUUAGGGACCGAGCUGGGAAAAUAAAAAAUAAACCCAAAGGCAGGGUGUUUGUGCCCGGUUUGUGAGCGCUGCCGCGCACGGGAAUGGGAGAAUUUCCGUGAAGUCCCUGGGGGAGAGAGUGGCACAUGGUGAAAUUAGGUAAGCGUGCCGUUCCGGGUGUGGAAUGCGAGCGGGAGAGGCUGGCCCUGGACCGCAUGCUGGGGUGUGAAUCGGGUCUGGCAGACAAAAAAAUGCGUUGUUUUCCCACUUAAACCAGGUGCGUCAGGGAAUAAGGCAGACGCCACACGAAGGGACCUGGUGGCGGAGGGAAGUGUGAGUCCUGGUGGCAGCUCGGAGGAGGCGGCGUGACGCCUGCCCCAGGCAGGACUUUGCCCAGCCGUGAGUGAGUGCACGGCGCCCAGGGGAAGGGGCAGCCACAGGGGCCAGGACGGCGGUGAGCAUGAAGCCAUGGGACCACCCCUUGUGUUUUAGGGGAGCAGCGGCCUGGGGAGCGCGUGUUUGGGACUGAUGGCCAGGCGGGGUCUGAGGGAGGAGGGGAGGGCUGCCUUUCCUUAGCCCGUCUUUCUUCCCGUAAUCGGAAGUUCCGUUUCUGUAACCCAACGCUGAAUGUCCGAAUGAGAAUUCAGGGUGCUCUACGGGAGAGAAACGUGUGUCAGAGCUGAGACGCAAAUCUCACCUGUUUUAGGGGUUUUUCCCAAACAGGUUAAAAUUGGCACUUUUAACGAAAUCCUCUCGCAUACCCUGCGGUUAGCUGUGGAGCCGCGCCGGGAGGGGCAGGGUGGCGGUUCUACGAGAUAUCGGCUGUCACCCCACACAAGGGACACCUGCUUUCAGAGGGAGCGAGAAGCAGCCUGUGUUUGGUGAAGGCCUUAGCCACAGAAUGGACUCGUGUGGAAUCCCAGCUUGGUUUCUACGGAACAAGUCAGCUUCCCUCCCAAUGGCUUUCGUGAAGAGCCAGUGAAACCCGAUUUGCAUGUGGAGGACGCGCUGUGAAAUAUGCAGCAGUGAGGUGGGUUCAGGGGCCUCUGCCCUGGGCCCUCCUGCCAAGAGCGGCUCAGCACUGCUGCCCUCGCAGAGCGUCCUGAAUCCCAUCAUCUCCACGGGAACUGGAUGAGCCGGAGACGCGCGACCUUGAGAAGCUGUCAGCCUCCGGGCAAGGCUGCACCUAAAUCAUCCAGGGAGAGCGCUCUGUGCUCGCAGGCUGCUUUGAAGUCGUCAUGCACAUCGAGCACCGAGCACCGGCACCCCUGCCGGCCUUAAC